AGUUUGAGUGACAGGUGAGGUCGUCACGUGACUGCGCCGUAUUCCAAAUAACAAUUCUCACUGCGUUUGUUUUUUAAUAAAGUAUACACUUGUGCGGUAUUUAGUAUAAUAUUGUGGCGUUUGUAACACAGCCGUUAUUAAAUUGGAAAACAAACGGAGAAGGAAACGGUCACUUUCGGAGAAGUUUUAAUUCCUUGGAAGAAACACAGAGGAGGAAAAAAGUGGGUGAAACGAGAAAAAAGAUGUUAAUUCACUAGGACAAAGCUUCGUCGUUCUCAGCUUCAACGAAUCGUUCCUCGCCUCAUUUGGAGUUAGACCUCACAGUCGGAUGCUGUUUGUUAAACACGACUCAUCCCAGUCUCUCCGCCGCUACCGGGCCUGCCGUUGCCAUGACGACACUCGGUCGUCACAGUGUCUAGACGGCGGAUGACACCUGACACCGCAUCCCACUGGGCUGAGGAACACUGAGGACACUGAGGGAAGCUAAGGUUGCUUGUUCCAACCUGAACAGGAAGGGGAAGAACUAGGGGAUCAGGUUGAAACCCAAUAGGGGGGUUGGAGUGGGGGUCACUGGUCGAGGAGAGGCUCUCGAGGUGUCACUUCCACGGAGACACAGCUGGCCUGAACAAGAUUCUCAUCAGUGGACAAACAAGAGAAGCAAGCUGGUGUCAGCCUCGAGUCCCUUUUCAGCCAUCUCACUUUUCGUUAAUCAUCAACUCUGUUGAUAAGAAGCCGUUUUCUUACAAUUAUACACUAAUGAAUUUAGCUCCAGACAGUGCUGUUUGCAAUUAGACUCGGAGAAUGUCAUGUAAUUUCACCAGAAAAGCAAACAUGCCAUUGCUGGUGAUCCCUUCAACCAGCUUUUUCAUGUUUUUUAUUGUUUAUUUUUCUCUCAGUCUCUGCUCUGUGUUUCAUAAACAUUCUCCCAUGUCUCA